rnacentral:rRNA from 1 species
UAACAUUCUGAAAAGGAUGCUAAUACCGCAUGACAUAUCGGAACCACAUGGUUCUGAUAUCAAAGAUUUUAUCGCUUGAAGAUGGACUCGCGUCCGAUUAGUUAGUUGGUGAGGUAACGGCUCACCAAGACCGCGAUCGGUAGCCGGACUGAGAGGUUGAACGGCCACAUUGGGACUGAGACACGGCCCAGACUCCUACGGGAGGCAGCAGUGGGGGAUAUUGCGCAAUGGGGGCAACCCUGACGCAGCAACGCCGCGUGAAGGAUGAAGGUUUUCGGAUUGUAAACUUCUUUUAUUAAGGACGAAAAAUGACGGUACUUAAUGAAUAAGCUCCGGCUAACUACGUGCCAGCAGCCGCGGUAAUACGUAGGGAGCAAGCGUUGUCCGGAUUUACUGGGUGUAAAGGGUGCGUAGGCGGCUUUGCAAGUCAGAUGUGAAAUCUAUGGGCUCAACCCAUAAACUGCAUUUGAAACUGUAGAGCUUGAGUGAAGUAGAGGCAGGCGGAAUUCCCCGUGUAGCGGUGAAAUGCGUAGAGAUGGGGAGGAACACCAGUGGCGAAGGCGGCCUGCUGGGCUUUAACUGACGCUGAGGCACGAAAGCGUGGGUAGCAAACAGGAUUAGAUACCCUGGUAGUCCACGCUGU